rnacentral:rRNA from 1 species
AAAGAAUGGCCUUCUCCGCUAUCACCUUCUGGAUGGACCUGCGGGUGCAUUAGCUUGUUGGUGGGGUAACGGGCCUACCAAGGCGAUGAUGCAUAGCCGAGUUGAGAGACUGAUCGGCCACAAUGGGACUGAGACACGGCCCAUACUCCUACGGGAGGCAGCAGUAGGGAACCUUCCACAAUGGGCGCAAGCCUGAUGGAGCAACACCGCGUGAGUGAAGAAGGGUUUCGGCUCGUAAAGCUCUGUUGUUAAAGAAGAACACGUAUGAGAGUAACUGUUCAUACGUGACGGUAUU